rnacentral:rRNA from 1 species
UACGGAGGGUGCAAGCGUUAUCCGGAUUCACUGGGUUUAAAGGGUGCGUAGGUGGGCAGGUAAGUCAGUGGUGAAAUCUCCGGGCUUAACCCGGAAACUGCCAUUGAUACUAUUUGUCUUGAAUACUGUGGAGGUUAGCGGAAUAUGUCAUGUAGCGGUGAAAUGCUUAGAUAUGACAUAGAACACCAAUUGCGAAGGCAGCUGGCUACACAAAUAUUGACACUGAGGCACGAAAGCGUGGGGAUCAAACAGG